AAGACUAUACUUUCAGGGAUCAUUUCUGCAGUUUUGUAUAGUGAAGAUUCUCUGACUGUGUAGGGUAUCCUAGACCACAAGGACAAGUAGAAGUGUUCCCUUUAAAGCGUGCCGCUUGCUCUAGGUGCUGCUUUUCUGUAGCUGCCUCUUGUUAUUGAUGGUCCUUCUUCUCUUCCUUUGGUGGUGGGGGGAUGCAGUUUGAAUAGA